CCUACGGGUGGCAGCAGUGAGGAAUAUUGGUCAAUGGCCGUAAGCCUGAACCAGCCAAGUCGCGUGAAGGAAGACGGAUCUAUGGUUUGUAAACUUCUUUUAUCGGGGAAUAAAGGUCUCCACGCGUGGCUUUUUGCAUGUACCCUAUGAAUAAGCAUCGGCUAACUCCGUGCCAGCAGCCGCGGUAAUACGGAGGAUGCGAGCGUUAUCCGGAUUUAUUGGGUUUAAAGGGUGCGUAGGGUGGUGUUUAAGUCAGCGGUGAAAGUUUGUGGCUCAACCAUAUAAUUGCCGUUGAAACUGGAAGACUUGAGUGAGUUUGAGGUAGGCGGAAUGCGUGGUGUAGCGGUGAAAUGCAUAGAUAUCACGCAGAACUCCGAUUGCGAAGGCAGCUUACUAAGGCAUAACUGACACUGAAGCACGAAAGCGUGGGGAUCAAACAGGAUUAGAUACCCCUGUAGUC
rnacentral:rRNA from 1 species